rnacentral:rRNA from 1 species
GACGAAGGUGGCAAGCGUUGUUCGGAAUUACUGGGCAUAAAGCGCGUGUAGGCGGUCGAUUAAGUCUGAUGUGAAAGCCCUCGGCCCAACCGAGGAAUGGCGUCUGAUACUGAUCGACUUGAGAGUUGGAGGGGUGCACGGAAUACCUGGUGGAGCGGUGAAAUGCGUUGAUAUCAGGUGGAACACCAAAGGCGAAGGCAGUGCACUGGCCAAUUUCUGACGCUGAGAUGCGAAAGUAUGGGGAGCGAACGGG